rnacentral:rRNA from 1 species
GGGAAUAUUGCGCAAUGGAGGAAACUCUGACGCAGUGACGCCGCGUAUGGGAAGAAGGUUUUCGGAUUGUAAACCAUUUUAGACAAGGAAGAAACAAGACAGUACUUGUAGAAUAAGCUCCGGCUAACUACGUGCCAGCAGCCGCGGUAAUACGUAGGGAGCAAGCGUUAUCCGGAUUUAUUGGGUGUAAAGGGUGCGUAGACGGGAAGGUAAGUUAGUUGUGAAAUCCCUCGGCUCAACUGAGGAACUG